rnacentral:rRNA from 1 species
AUUGAACGCUGGCGGCAUGCCUUACACAUGCAAGUCGAACGGUAACGGGCCUUCGGGUGCCGACGAGUGGCGAACGGGUGAGUAAUGCAUCGGAACGUACCUUUCAGUGGGGGAUAACGUAGCGAAAGUUACGCUAAUACCGCAUAUUCUGUGAGCAGGAAAGCAGGGGAUCGCAAGACCUUGCGCUGAUUGAGCGGCCGAUGUCAGAUUAGCUAGUUGGUGAGGUAAAGGCUCACCAAGGCGACGAUCUGUAGCGGGUCUGAGAGGAUGAUCCGCCACACUGGGACUGAGACACGGCCCAGACUCCUACGGGAGGCAGCAGUGGGGAAUUUUGGACAAUGGGCGCAAGCCUGAUCCAGCCAUGCCGCGUGAGUGAAGAAGGCC